rnacentral:pre_miRNA from 1 species
UGUAUGUAUGUAUGUAUGUAUGUAUGUAUAUGUGUGUGUGCCAUACAUACAUACAUACAUACAUACAUACAUACAUACAUACAUACAUACA